rnacentral:rRNA from 3 species
AAGGCUGAGCUGUGAUGGGGAAGCUCCUUAUGGAGCGAAGUCUUUGAUUCCCCGCUGCCAAGAAAAGCUUCUAGCGAGAUAAAAGGUGCCUGUACCGCAAACCGACACAGGUAGGCGAGGAGAGAAUCCUAAGGUGUGCGAGAGAACUCUGGUUAAGGAACUCGGCAAAAUGACCCCGUAACUUCGGGAGAAGGGGUGCUUUCUUAACGGAAAGCCGCAGUGAAUAGGCCCAAGCGACUGUUUAGCAAAAACACAGCUCUCUGCGAAGCCGUAAGGCGAAGUAUAGGGGGUGACACCUGCCCGGUGCUGGAAGGUUAAGGAGAGGGGUUAGCGUAAGCGAAGCUCUGAACUGAAGCCCCAGUAAACGGCGGCCGUAACUAUAACGGUCCUAAGGUAGCGAAAUUCCUUGUCGGGUAAGUUCCGACCCGCACGAAAGGUGUAACGAUUUGGGCACUGUCUCAACCAGAGACUCGGUGAAAUUAUAGUACCUGUGAAGAUGCAGGUUACCCGCGACAGGACGGAAAGACCCCGUGGAGCUUUACUGUAGCCUGAUAUUGAAUUUUGGUACAGUUUGUACAGGAUAGGCGGGAGCCUUUGAAACCGGAGCGCUAGCUUCGGUGGAGGCGCUGGUGGGAUACCGCCCUGACUGUAUUGAAAUUCUAACCUACGGGUCUUAUCGACCCGGGAGACAGUGUCAGGUGGGCAGUUUGACUGGGGCGGUCGCCUCCUAAAGUGUAACGGAGGCGCCCAAAGGUUCCCUCAGAAUGGUUGGAAAUCAUUCGUAGAGUGCAAAGGCAUAAGGGAGCUUGACUGCGAGACCUACAAGUCGAGCAGGGACGAAAGUCGGGCUUAGUGAUCCGGUGGUUCCGCAUGGAAGGGCCAUCGCUCAACGGAUAAAAGCUACCCCGGGGAUAACAGGCUUAUCUCCCCCAAGAGUCCACAUCGACGGGGAGGUUUGGCACCUCGAUGUCGGCUCAUCGCAUCCUGGGGCUGUAGUCGGUCCCAAGGGUUGGGCUGUUCGCCCAUUAAAGCGGUACGCGAGCUGGGUUCAGAACGUCGUGAGACAGUUCGGUCCCUAUCCGUCGUGGGCGUAGGAAAUUUGAGAGGAGCUGUCCUUAGUACGAGAGGACCGGGAUGGACGCACCGCUGGUGUACCAGUUGUUCUGCCAAGGGCAUAGCUGGGUAGCUAUGUGCGGAAGGGAUAAGUGCUGAAAGCAUCUAAGCAUGAAGCCCCCCUCAAGAUGAGAUUUCCCAUAGCGUAAGCUAGUAAGAUCCCUGAAAGAUGAUCAGGUUGAUAGGUUCGAGGUGGAAGCAUGGUGACAUGUGGAGCUGACGAAUACUAAUAGAUCGAGGACUUAACCAU